CAGUCGCCACGGGAACACGGAGGGUGCAAGCGUUAAUCGGAAUUACUGGGCGUAAAGCGUGCGUGGGCGGUUCGUUAAGUCUGUUGUGAAAGCCCCGGGCUCAACCUGGGAAUGGCAAUGGAUACUGGCGAGCUAGAGUGUGUCAGAGGAUGGUGGAAUUCCCGGUGUAGCGGUGAAAUGCGUAGAGAUCGGGAGGAACAUCAGUGGCGAAGGCGGCCAUCUGGGACAACACUGACGCUGAGGCACGAAAGCGUGGGGAGCAAACAGGAUUAGAUACCCCCGUAGUCCCUGUCUCUUAUAC
rnacentral:rRNA from 1 species